UUUUUCAACUGAUUUUUAUAUUUCGUUCUUAUGUUGUACUGUUAUACCACUGUCCCAGGUUAGGGGGAGGGUUGGGAUCCCGCUAACAUGUUUAACCCCGCCACAUUAUUUAGGUAUGUGCCUGUCCCAAGUCAGGAGCCUGUAAUUCAGUGGUUGUCGCUUGUUUAUGUGUUACAUAUUUGUUUUUCGUUCAUAUUUUUUUACAUAAAUAAGGCCGUUAGUUU
rnacentral:lncRNA from 1 species